rnacentral:rRNA from 1 species
UACGUAGGCAGCGAGCGUUGUUCGGAGUUACUGGGCGUAAAGGGUGUGUAGGCGGUUGUUUAAGUUUGGUGUGAAAUCUCCCGGCUCAACUGGGAGGGUGCGCCGAAUACUGAAUGACUAGAGUGCGGGAGAGGUGAGUGGAAUUCCUGGUGUAGCGGUGAAAUGCGUAGAUAUCAGGAGGAACACCGGUGGUGUAGACGGCUCACUGGACCGUAACUGACGCUGAGGCACGAAAGCGUGGGGAGCGAACAGG